rnacentral:lncRNA from 1 species
CUGCGAUGAGCAUGUGAACCUGGGAACAACAAAAUAAGAGUCAUGGAUAUCUAGCAAUGAGGCCAGAAAAAUUGUGGUGCAAAUCAGAAAAGUCGAGAACUACAUGCCUGCUUUUCCACUUUGGAGUUCAUGAGUUGGGAAGUAGUGAAGUAGAAUGAUCUAAGCAUGUGAACCAUGAUCCAGACACACAAGGGCACUAAAAGACACAUCUUGUUGUGCUAGCUCCAUGCAGUUCUGAUUCUAAUACCAGAACAGUGUGUGCAUUUGAUGAGAGAGAACAAAUCUUCAGAAAAGCACAUGAUAGACUGUAGAAAAACGCAUCGUAUUCUACAUCGUUACACAAAUGGUGUUUCUAUAAUGUAGAUAUUGAAAACAGCAGAUUAGCAUUGUGAAUUAGAAACUUUGUCGCAUCUGGCACUAGAGCAACUUCUGUUGAUGCACCGAAUAACAUUCUGCACAUAGCUUGUUUGGUGUUCCAUCCAGGAUUUGGAUAUAGCUGAUGCCUUCCGAUCGUGAAAAUCCAAAUUGGAUUGAUACUGCUUCUAAAGUUUUUACAUUUGCGGAAUCUCCUGUUGUUUCUGUACCUAUCACCUUGCAAAGAUAAGAAGAUCACGAAAUGUGGCUCUCAUUGGUUUGAAUUUUUAUUUGUAUUGGGCCUAGAUUAGUUAAUCAAUCAAAUCAAUACGACUGGAAUGUUGCUCUCAUUGGUUUGAAUUCUUAUGUGGUCCAAACAGCUCUAAAAGUCAGAUGUGCUCUUAAGCACGAUAAUCACAUCUCAACUAUUAGAUCUUUUAAAGUCCAUCAAUAUAACUUGUCUUCGCCUAGCAGUGGUUGAGGACAAACUAUUUUCUACAACCAACAACAACAUAGUUUUCGCGGCUUGCUUGCUUGAUGUAUAUGCAGC